AUGCGCGGUGAGAACCUGCUCGUCAGCGCCAACUUCGCGUCCACCGGCGUCGGCAUCCUCAACGACACAGGCGUGCAAUUCGUGAACAUCAUCAGGAUCGCCCAGCAGCUGCAGAACUUCCAGGACUACCAGCAGAGGCUAGCGGCGUACGUCGGCGAGGACGCGGCGAGGGAGCGCGUGAGCCAGUCGCUGGUGCUCAUCACGCUUGGCGGCAAUGACUUCGUCAACAACUACUACCUGGUGCCCUUCUCCGCUAGGUCCCAGCAGUUCGAGAUCCACGACUACGUCCACUUCAUCAUCUCCGAGUACAAGAAAGUCCUCGCGGGUGAUAUGGAUGAAGGAAAAGAGGCCAGCAGUGCUGGGCUAAACAAUUCAGGGAGGUAUUGGAUUGGCCUCUGUAGAAACUAUGGUAAAGGCACCUAA
rnacentral:rRNA from 1 species